UCCCUCAUGGGAUUAGCCUUAGAUUAAUUUUCUACUUGCCUUUAGGAAGACCAGAUUUCGGAGUGAGGUUAGAUUCCCCUGGGCACCCCUGCUUUCCUGGAUGAGUGAUCUGGGUAAGAAAACUGCUGCUCACAGAGAGUCUGUCAAUCAUCCAGCUUCACAGAGAAAAGGACAAGAGAACAAAUAUUCACCGAGCAUCCACAAUAUUUAGACUCCAUGCCCAGUGUGGAGUCCAACGUGGGCCUUGAACUGACAACUCUGACAUCAACAGCUGAGCUGAGAUCAAGAGUCGGAUGCUUCAUCAAUUGACCCACCCAGGCACCCCCAAGUCUAAUAUUCUUACUAUCACAAUUUAUUAAUCCCCAUCAUUAUGAGUACCAGGGAUGCCAGAAGUGGUGAUAAUUUUUUUUUUUUAAGAUUUAUUUGAGGGGCACCCGGGUGGCUCAGUCGUUAAGCGUCUGCC